GGUUAAGCGACUAAGCGUACACGGUGGAUGCCCUGGCAGUCAGAGGCGAUGAAGGGCGUGCUAAUCUGCGAUAAGCGCCGGUAAGGUGAUAUGAACCGUUAUAACCGGCGAUACCCGAAUGGGGAAACCCAGUGUGAUUCGUCACACUAUCAUUAACUGAAUCCAUAGGUUAAUGAGGCGAACCGGGGGAACUGAAACAUCUAAGUACCCCGAGGAAAAGAAAUCAACCGAGAUUCCCCCAGUAGCGGCGAGCGAACGGGGAGGAGCCCAGAGCCUGAAUCAGCAUGUGUGUUAGUGGAAGCGUCUGGAAAGGCGCGCGAUACAGGGUGACAGCCCCGUACACAAAAGCGCAUGUGCUGUGAGCUCGAUGAGUAGGGCGGGACACGUGGUAUCCUGUCUGAAUAUGGGGGGACCAUCCUCCAAGGCUAAAUACUCCUGACUGACCGAUAGUGAACCAGUACCGUGAGGGAAAGGCGAAAAGAACCCCGGCGAGGGGAGUGAAAAAGAACCUGAAACCGUGUACGUACAAGCAGUGGGAGCACAGGUUUACCUGUGUGACUGCGUACCUUUUGUAUAAUGGGUCAGCGACUUAUAUUCUGUAGCAAGGUUAACCGUAUAGGGGAGCCGGAGGGAAACCGAGUCUUAAUUGGGCGUUAAGUUGCAGGGUAUAGACCCGAAACCCGGUGAUCUAGCCAUGGGCAGGUUGAAGGUUGGGUAACACUAACUGGAGGACCGAACCGACUAAUGUUGAAAAAUUAGCGGAUGACCUGUGGCUGGGGGUGAAAGGCCAAUCAAACCGGGAGAUAGCUGGUUCUCCCCGAAAGCUAUUUAGGUAGCGCCUCGUGAAUUCAUCUCCGGGGGUAGAGCACUGUUUCGGCUAGGGGGCCAUCCCGGCUUACCAACCCGAUGCAAACUGCGAAUACCGGAGAAUGUUAUCACGGGAGACACACGGCGGGUGCUAACGUCCGUCGUGAAGAGGGAAACAACCCAGACCGCCAGCUAAGGUCCCAAAGUCAUGGUUAAGUGGGAAACGAUGUGGGAAGGCCCAGACAGCCAGGAUGUUGGCUUAGAAGCAGCCAUCAUUUAAAGAAAGCGUAAUAGCUCACUGGUCGAGUCGGCCUGCGCGGAAGAUGUAACGGGGCUAAACCAUGCACCGA
rnacentral:rRNA from 1 species